AAUGAACGCUGGCGGCGUGCCUAACACAUGCAAGUCGUACGAGAAAGGGGCUUCGGCCCUGAGUAGAGUGGCGCACGGGUGAGUAACGCGUGGGUAAUCUCCCCUUGGAUUUGGGAUAACUCUGCGAAAGUGGAGCUAAUACCGGAUAGUCUGGCUUUAAUUGAUAAGUCGGUAAAGGAUGCCUCUGCAUAUGCAUUCGUCCAAGGAUGAGCCCGCGUCUCAUUAGCUAGUUGGUAGGGUAAUGGCCUACCAAGGCAACGAUGAGUAGCUGGUCUGAGAGGAUGAUCAGCCACACUGGAACUGAAACACGGUCCAGACUCCUACGGGAGGCAGCAGUGGGGAAUAUUGCGCAAUGGGCGAAAGCCUGACGCAGCAACGCCGUGUGAGGGAUGAAGGCUUUCGGGUCGUAAACCGUCUGUCGGAAGGGAAGAACGGGCAAGGGUCUAAUAGGCCUUGUUUGACGGUACCUUUAGUAGGAAGCACCGGCUAACUCCGUGCCAGCAGCCG
rnacentral:rRNA from 1 species